rnacentral:rRNA from 1 species
GUAGUCUGCAACUCGACUACAUGAAGCUGGAAUCGCUAGUAAUCGCGAAUCAGAAUGUCGCGGUGAAUACGUUCCCGGGUCUUGUACACACCGCCCGUCACACCAUGGGAGUCAGUAACGCCCGAAGCCGGUGACCCAACCAGUUCAGGAGGGAGCCGUCGAAGGUGGGACCGAUAACUGGGGUGAAGUCGUAACAAGGUAGC